rnacentral:rRNA from 1 species
UGGGGAAUAUUGCACAAUGGGCGCAAGCCUGAUGCAGCCAUGCCGCGUGUGUGAAGAAGGCCUUCGGGUUGUAAAGCACUUUCAGCGAGGAGGAAGGUGGUGAGCUUAAUACGCUCAUCAAUUGACGUUACUCGCAGAAGAAGCACCGGCUAACUCCGUGCCAGCAGCCGCGGUAAUACGGAGGGUGCAAGCGUUAAUCGGAAUUACUGGGCGUAAAGCGCACGCAGGCGGUUUGUUAAGUCAGAUGUGAAAUCCCCGGGCUCAACCUGGGAACUGCAUUUGAAACUGGCAAGCUAGAGUCUCGUAGAGGGGGGUAGAAUUCCAGGUGUAGCGGUGAAAUGCGUAGAGAUCUGGAGGAAUACCGGUGGCGAAGGCGGCCCCCUGGACGAAGACUGACGCUCAGGUGCGAAAGCGUGGGGCAGCAAACAGGAUUAGAUACCCUAGUAGUCCAGCGCUGUAAACGAUGUCGAUUUGGAGGUUGUGCCCUUGAGGCGUGGCUUCCGGAGCUAACGCGUUAAAUCGACCGCCUGGGGAGUACGGCCGCAAGGUUAAAACUCAAAUGAAUUG